rnacentral:rRNA from 1 species
GAUCCUCGGCUACAGGACGAACGGCUGGCGGCGUGCCUAACACAUAGCAAGUCGAACGAAGCUUGAUGAUGGAUUCUUCGGAAGAAAUCUGAUAUGACUGAGUGGCGGACGGGUGAGUAACGCGUGAGUAACCUGCCCUUAGAAAGGGAUAGCGUACUGGAAACGGACGGUAAUACCAUAUAAAGUAUAUUAACGGCAUCGUAGAUAUACCAAAGCUGAGGCGCCUAAGGAUGGACUCGCGUCUGAUUAGAUAGUUGGUGGGGUAACGGCCUACCAAGUCGACGAUCAGUAGCCGGACUGAGAGGUUGAACGGCCACAUUGGGACUGAGACACGGCCCAGACUCCUACGGGAGGCAGCAGUGGGGAAUAUUGCACAAUGGGCGAAAACCUGAUGCAGCAACGCCGCGUGAAGGAAGACGGUUUUCGGAUUGUAAACUUCUGUUCUUAGUGAAGAAUAAUGACGGUAACUAAGGAGCAAGCCACGGCUAACUACGUG